GCUGGGAUGGCUGAGUGGCCGAAAGCACCAACCUUGUAAGUUGGUAUACCACAUCGUCAGUUCGAAUCUGACUCCCAGCA
rnacentral:tRNA from 1 species